ACGUGAUUUUUUUCCCCAGCAAUUCGUGUAUUUCUUCACGUUGGUUGCGAGCAUGAAAGGAGACACACUUGAUCCUUAUCCAAGCCAUUUUGCUGAUCCUAUGUAAUUAAGAAAACUGUGGCUGUCCCAUCCAGUAAAGAAGAAAACUGUUAUCCAUCCUCCUCCUGGACCAGAAAGCAGACCUGUUACAAGUAUAAUGACUUUAAAUGUCACAAGGUUUUAAAUGCAGUUCGAAAAUCAAACCACAGCUGUUCUUGCCUACAAACGCUGAGAAAAAAAAUUUUCAUCAUUUUCCAGUACUACUUCUAUUGUUGAGUCACUUAUACCUUCUAAAGAAAUUGCAGAAUAUGCUGCCUGCUGAUGCCCUCCAGGACGAGGUGGAGGAGGUUGCUGGUGUGGCACAACCCAUGAGGUGUGGACCGUGUGUGAGGGGCUGCUCUUUGUUCUGAUGAGGCACUUCAGUUAUCUCUUCAGGCUGCUCUUCAGCUCUGCAGCCACUGAUGCCUGAUGUUGGCCACCACUGGAGAAAGCACUCUAGGCUAAACGUCCUUCUGGUUUGUUGUGGUAUACCAGCAUGAUAUUCACUGAUUGCUGGUGGCUAAUGCACCCUGGAAUCCACUGUUUCCCACUCUGCCUUGAUAUGGAAGCAGAACGCGAGAGGCCAGCAGGGAGAAUCCACGUAAAAUGAGCAAAUCAACCUGAUAUGGGCUGGGGAACCCAGAGUUGGCAGUAGACUGGUAUGGAGUCUCUUUGACCCAAGAUUUUGCAGAACAAUUCCAUAAAGCAUUUUUGUCAUUGUGAAUGACUGUGUGGUCUUGCUAUAGAAUAAAUGGGCUGUAACUCUUAUUCUUGAAUAUUAACACUCAAAAAUGUUUUAUUUGUAAACAGAAGAUGAUUUUAGGUAGUUGAUGUAUUGACAGUGAUAUCCUAUCAGUCUGGCUUCUGUCAGGCAUGCUUACAAGCUGGGAAAAGUUGCUGAAUGGGCAUAGUAAAGUUGCUAGUAGAAAUUAGCAGGCACUUGUUUACCUGCUGGCCUUUCAGCUGGAAGCUGUUUAAGAAUAAUUCUUAGUUUGCUACUUGGUUAUUUACUUAUCUGUAUAGUAUGGAUGGUGUCAGCAUUUGGGGCGCAGAGAUGAAUGGUGAGAUGUCUUCCAUAAAUGCCAGUGUGGCCAAAAGCUGAAUCACUUAUUCUGUGUACUUGUUUCCUGGGUCAACCAAGGAAGCCAGUAUCCCUCAGAGGUUGGCUUGGCAUUCCAUCAUCUCCACAAGGAAUUGGAAAAGGAAACGGAUGCAAGGCAGCAAAGUCAUGUUAGAUCUGUCUGUCAAAGUCCAGAUGGUUGUAAGAUGCUAAGCUACAAAAAGGCUGCAGAAAGCUGGUACAUGUAUUUCUCCUAACAGCCCAUAAAUCUUAUUUUCUAGAAAGGCGUGAACUGAACACUGCACAGCAGUGAAUGUCUAUUGAGAAGUACUAAUUGUGUGCCAUUACUGUUGGCUGGAACCCCAGAAGCUAGAAGUACUUUGAGUUUAGAUGAUUCUUUGUAGUAUAGGCUAAUCUGAAGGUAACGAGUGUAGGCUGGAUACCUCACACCUGAAUAGCAUUCGGCUACAGCAGUUCUUAAUUGAGUCAGUGCUACGGAGAGGACAGAAGAUUAAUUUUAUUGUUCCUUCUUUAUUUAUACUGCAUUCACAUCUGUAAGUGCCAGUCAUGUGGUACUAUAUCUGUCCUCAGGCUUUUUGACUACAAGCUGUAACACCUCUCUGUCCUGCAAUUAACCAGUUGCAUGUUUAUCCCUUGAAGACAAAUGGGGAGGAAAGCAAGCAGCUUAUAAUGCAAGCUAGCCGCUUCUGAGAUGUGAAAUGAAGCUCAGGGUUCA